CCUACGGGUGGCAGCAGUGGGGAAUAUUGCGCAAUGGGCGAAAGCCUGACGCAGCGACGCCGCGUGAGGGAUGAAGGUCUUCGGAUCGUAAACCUCUGUCAGCAGGGAAGAACGGUCACUGUGCUAAUCAGCAGUGAAUUGACGGUACCUGCAACGGAAGCACCGGCUAACUCCGUGCCAGCAGCCGCGGUAAUACGGAGGGUGCGAGCGUUAACCGGAAUUACUGGGCGUAAAGCGCUCGUAGGCGGUAUGUCAAGUCAAGGGUGAAAUCCCCGCGCUCAACGUGGGAACUGCCUUUGAAACUGGCAAACUGGAGUGUGUGAGAGGAUAGUGGAAUUCCAGGUGUAGGAGUGAAAUGCGUAGAUAUCUGGAGGAACAUCAGUGGCGAAGGCGACUAUCUGGCACAUAACUGACGCUGAGGAGCGAAAGCGUGGGUAGCAAACAGGAUUAGAUACCCUUGUAGUC
rnacentral:rRNA from 1 species